GGAAAGAUGACCGAGAUGGACGAAGGUGUCACACUGCUAAUGUGAUGUAUGCAAUUGCUUACCGAGGGUUCGAAUCCCUCUCUUUCCG
rnacentral:tRNA from 1 species